UGGGGAAUAUUGCACAAUGGGGGAAACCCUGAUGCAGCAACGCCGCGUGAAGGAAGAAGGCCUUCGGGUUGUAAACUUCUUUGAUAGGGGACGAUAAUGACGGUACCCUAAGAACAAGCCACGGCUAACUACGUGCCAGCAGCCGCGGUAAUACGUAGGUGGCAAGCGUUGUCCGGAAUUACUGGGUGUAAAGGGCGUGUAGACGGGAUUGCAAGUCAGAUGUGAAAGCCCCAGGCUUAACCUGGGAACUGCAUCUGAAACUGUGAUUCUUGAGUGUCGGAGAGGAAAGCGGAAUUCCUAGUGUAGCGGUGAAAUGCGUAGAUAUUAGGAGGAACACCAGUGGCGAAGGCGGCUUUCUGGACGAUAACUGACGUUGAGGCGCGAAAGCGUGGGGAGCAAACAGG
rnacentral:rRNA from 1 species